rnacentral:rRNA from 1 species
UAGGGAAUCUUCGGCAAUGGACGAAAGUCUGACCGAGCAACGCCGCGUGAGUGAAGAAGGUUUUCGGAUCGUAAAACUCUGUUGUUAGAGAAGAACAAGGACGUUAGUAACUGAACGUCCCCUGACGGUAUCUAACCAGAAAGCCACGGCUAACUACGUGCCAGCAGCCGCGGUAAUACGUAGGUGGCAAGCGUUGUCCGGAUUUAUUGGGCGUAAAGCGAGCGCAGGCGGUUUCUUAAGUCUGAUGUGAAAGCCCCCGGCUCAACCGGGGAGGGUCAUUUGAAACUGGGAGUCUUGAGUGCAGAAGAGGAGAGUGGAAUUCCAUGUGUAGCGGUGAAAUGCGUAGAUAUAUGGAAGAACACCAGUGGCGAGGACGGCUCUCUGGUCUGUAACUGACGCUGAGGCUCGAAAGCGUGGGGAGCAAGCAGG